rnacentral:lncRNA from 1 species
GUGGAAUGCUAGUCCAGGAUCCUUCAAAGGGAAAUGACGUGGAUGCAAUUUUUCAUCAAGCCAGGCAACUUGGUGCUGUUGAGAGGCCUCUUGAUCAGCUUCAGGAGCCUCCAAGGUCAACUAGCUUUACUGGAACUGGCAGGUUACUCUCGGGGGAAACUGCACAAUCUACUACUAAUCAGCAACCUGAGGCUGUUGUUCACAACAUUGUUUUCUGGAGUAAUGGUUUUACUGUAAAUGAUGGACCUUUGAGGAGAUUGGAUGAUCCUGAAAAUGCCUCAUUUCUAGAGGUGAUGCUAUUUAAGAUUCUGAUUCCAUUAGUGGCAAAAUAAUUCAGAAAUAUAUAUUAAGGUAGUGUUCCAGGAAAGGCAAAUCCUGAUUUUGGAGGAUUGAGUUUUUGGUGAGCAUUUUUCAGGAAAUAGGGUAAUAUCUUAACAAAUUCCACUUACAUUGUGGUGAAAAUUAUUUAAAUUCUUUCUGAAAUUCAGUAUAUUUUAUUAUAUAAGUAUUUUGUCAGUUGCUUUCAUAAUUUAUUUCCAGACUGUGUAAGAACGGUGCCCCAGAAAUGGUUUUGUUGUGCUUAAUGAUAUUUGCUUCUUUUUAAUGCAGAGCAUAAAAAAAUCCGAGUGUCCCAAAGAGCUUGAACCUGCAGAUAGGAGGUCAUCUGUUAACGUCAACCUCAUAAGGAGGAAUGAGAACUAUCCUGUGAGGUUUCUAUCUGAGUUUUUUCAUUUAUCUCUGUCCGAUUUAUGUUAAACCGCACUGUAUUUUGUUGACAUUGUUUACUAGUUUUGGAGCUUUUUAACUCUGACAUUUUGAAAUGCAAUACGGGUCUUUUGUUAUGCAUAAUUUCUUGAGUCUGAAAUCAAACACGCCCAGUGUGUAAAUUAUAAGUGCAUUUGGUCAUUGCUUACAGGAACCCGAAAGGCAGCAUGUUCCAUUUCAGGGAGUGGGGAGAACACUUGGAAGCAGCUCUACAUCAGUGGCUCCUGACCCAACUACUGCCUUAACACCUCCAACCACGGCUCCAACUCCUUCUGCAGGCCUGGUUGUUGAUCAAUCACUGCCAUCAACCUCAAUACAAGUCAGGUUGGCUGAUGGAACCCGCUUGAUAUCACAUUUUAAUCAUCACCACGUGAUCAGUGACAUCCGUGCCUUCAUUGAUGCAUCUCGACCUGGUGGUCGGCAAAAUUAUCAACUUCAGAUGAUGGGUUUCCCCCCAAAGGUUCUAACCGAUGAAACUCAGAACAUAGAGCAGGCAGGACUUGCAAAUUCAGUUGUCAUACAGAAAUUCUAGCAGACUGCUGUUUCAUAUUGGCUCUUACCGGUUAAUUGCUGCAUUGAAAGGAUGCAGUUUUAUUGGGGGAUUGUAGAGGUGAGGUACUUUUAUUUCCAUAAAGUCAAAAACAUAUAGAACUGCCCUACUGUUGGGGGAACAUUUUCUUUUUGUUGCUCAAUGUUUACCAAGUAAUCUUAUUUGCUUUUUUUGUUUUGGACCUAAUUCUCUAUGCUAUGAUGAUUGUGGCGUGUCCUCUUUCUGGGCCUAGUGACUGAACUCGAGAUUAUAUUGAAAGACUUCACUGAAAUAUAUCGUAACCCCCGAAAGCAGUUUUUGAAAAUGUCGUAACGACUACCAUCUCUGUUUAUAUUAUAUUAUAUUUCUUCUGAAGCUAACAAACAGGUGUGGUUAUCUUACUAGAAAUUUGGAAAGAUUUUUAAAAUGUGGUUUUAAUUCUAAAUUGUGUAAACACUAAACCUAAAGGUGGAUGGAUAUAUAUAAUUGCACAAUAAUUUUUUUUUCAAUUGUUAAUAAUGUAUAUAAAUUUGUUAACGUUUUAAAAAUAACUUUGUUCCAAGUUUACCAACAAAAAUUUUAUAAAAAAUAUAAAAUUAUUUAAUCAUUACAUAUUCAUUGAAGUUUUUCUAUAUUUAUAUUAGUGCAUAUAAUUCAAUUUGAAUUAGAUUAUAUCAUAUUUAUAAAAUCAAAUUCAUAAAUCAAUUCAAUCAAACAAAGAAAAGUUCAAUUAUUUGUUCCAAGUUUACCAAUAAAAGAUUUAUAAAAAAUAUAAAAUUAUUUAAUCAUUACAUAUUCAUUGAAGUUUUUCUAUAUUUAUAUUAGUGCAUAUAAUUCAAUUUGAAUUAGAUUAUAUCAUAUUUAUAAAAUCAAAUUCAUAAAGAAAUGUUCAAUCAAUUACAUUAUAUUUAAAAAUGAUUUAUACUGUAAGAAAAAAUUCGUUACAGUACUCAUAAUUAAAAAGGUUUACAGUGAGUACUAACGAAUUAUAGUCUGAUUAAUAAUCAAUAGAUUAGAAAAUACAAAUAUAUUGAUGAUAUAAAAUGUUAUAUUUUUUCAUACAAAAAAUUACUUUUAAUUGACAUUUAAAACAGUUGUGAGCAAAAUAGAAUUACAUUUCUGCCUUGGGCUAUCUUAAAAGUCAGGGAUCAGAACUACUUGGCAGCAACGCAAAGACAAAGCUUUGUGUGUAUAACAUGCCUCAGUCUCAGUCUUCGUCUUAGAGCCACACCAUAUACUCCCAGAAACACACACACACACUCUCUCCCUUGCGAUUCGUUGUGUGAAAUAUUUGUAGGCAUGGCGUCACGGGACCACAAAAAGGCAUCGAGCAGCCGAACAGGCAGAAUUCGCACUCUCUCCGAUCUGAACCGUCCCUCUGCCGAUUCCGACAGCGACUCCGAUGGUCCUCAGGAGUACUACACCGGCGGGGAGAAGAGGUUCUCUUCUUUCCCGAUCCUUCUCCUCCUUUCUUCGUUCAUUAGCCUAACCCUCAAUUCUUGCAUUCUAUCACACCAACACAACAAAACUAAAAACUAUUAAUAAAGUUUUAUCGAUAUCACUAGCUUUAAUGUUAAGUCCCCAUCUUAGAAACUCUAGAAACUUCUUAAUAUCGCACUCUAUGUAUAAUAUAUUCCCUUACCGAUUAUUACUGUAAGAAUUAUUAGAGUUGACUUACAACAAGCUGGCGUAUUUCCAGUCAAUCAACUAGGUUAGAUUUUCGGAACAUUUUUUUAAUCGUGCAUGAUUGAAAUCAGAGUUGCAAUUUUUUCUGAUAUGUUUCGUUUUGUCUUCUGAAUUCUAAUGCGAUGGUUUGGCGAUGUUAUUGGUUGCCUUAGCUUGGUAUGAUUAUAGAUUGUGACUUUUUUUGUUUGUGUUGAUUGAUGAGUUUCUUCCCCGUUUCUCUUGUUUGGGUUAACUUCAUUGAUCGCAUACUGCUUUGAUAUUAAAGAGGAAGAUUUCUCUAACAGGAUUUAGUGAUUAGGUUUCAGCUCAGCACAUGUUUGUGUUACUUUUGAAAAUGCGGGUCAUUCUAAUUUAGGUUCCAUGUGUGUUUAGUUUGGUGUUUUGUAUUCUUGGAACCACGUUUGGGAUGUAAAAAAUGGAAUUUAUUCAAAGUAAUUUUCGUUUUGAAUAUGAAUCAUGGAUCCACUUUUGACUUAAUCCGAACCUGACGUGAAACCAUAAGUGCACUCAAUACAUAAGUAAUGAUAGGGGUUUUUAGGAAGUUAGAGGCCAGUGAAUGGUAAAAAACAGACAUGCAUUUAUUCUUUUGCCCUUUUACCAGUAUAAAGUGGUUUCAGAUUUUUGUAUAACUCAUUUGGGUGAAGCAUUUGGAAAACUUAUCUUAAGGCAUGAAUAAAAGCAAUAAAUCAUGCUUUUAGUGAGAGGUUUGUAACCUUUACAUUGAAGUUAUUUUGCUUAAAUUUGGGUUACUUUUUCUGGUAUAGGUUUUGGGCUUUUGAAAACCAUUCAGAUUCAUCUUAGCCAGUAAAAGAAUGGGGCAAGAAAAUGAAAAAAAAAAUCUGAUUUGUUUUAUCAUUUGGUGAUUUUUUUUUCCAAACAGGAAAUAUCUUUACUCUUCCCAGGUUUUAUGGCAAUGCUUCUGCAUUUUGAUAGCCUUUGAAGUCUAUAAUGAUUUGUUUAAACUUUAUAUCAUAACUUCUAGUGUUUCCAUGUGAUGAUUGCUAUCAAAUUAUAUAGCUUAGUAGCUUGAAAAUAUAGAUAGGGAUAGCUAUAUUUUUAGUAAUAUUGUUUUAUAGUAUGUAUUUUAUAUAUAUAUAUAUAUAUAUAUAUAUAUAUAUAUAUUCGCAUUUAAGCUGUGUUUGAAUGGAUAAUCAACCCAUUUUUAGAGUUUUUAAGGUAAUGAAGUGGAAUGGUUUAGGAUGGGAACCCAAACUACCUUACCACUCUUAACUUUCAAAUUUCCCUACUCUCUCAUUUAGAGGGUUUUGGAUGGAAUACUACUUUUUAUAUUUGGAGGCAGUUAUCCAUAAUUGUAAUUUACUCCACUCAAGUAAUUAUCACCUUUACUUCCAAACAAAGGUAAGGGGAUCCCCACCAUACCCUCAUUAAAAAAUUUCAAAUAGAGUGGUACCUUACAAAUAGAGUGCUUCAUCCUCUUCAAUAUUUCCAAACAUAGCUGUAAACUUAACUUCACCUGUAUGCUUCUAUAACCUCAAGCACCUUACAGACAGAAAUCACUUUUGACUACCUUCGUUGAAAGUGUGACAUUUGGAUAUUAAAAUUACCGCUUUCACAAUUUUCUGAAACAUUUAUUGAUGCACACAUCUGUCAUUUGAUUUUAUGAAAAAUUUCUACAAAGUAUUUAACCAUUCUGCAUUAUAUCUCCAGUGGAAUGCUUGUCCAGGAUCCUUCAAAGGGAAAUGACGUGGAUGCAAUUUUCAAUCAAGCUAGGCAACUGGGCGCUGUUGAAAGGCCUCUUGAUCAGCUUCAGGAGCCCCCAAGGUCAACUAGCUUUGCUGGAACUGGCAGGUUACUCUCAGGGGAAACUGCUGCACAGUCUACUACUAAUCAGCAACCCGAGUCUGUUGUUCACAACAUUGUUUUCUGGAGUAAUGGUUUCACUGUAAAUGAUGGACCUUUGAGGAGAUUGGAAGACCCUGAAAAUGCCUCAUUUUUAGAGGUGAUGGUAUUUAGGAUUCUGAUUCCUUCAUGGGUUGAGGGUAAAAUGAUUUGGAAGUAAUGAGGUUGUGUUCCAGAAAAUGCAAAUUCUGAUGUUAGAGGAUUUAGAUUUUGGUGGAUAAUGUUCAGGAAAUAAUGAAACACCGUAACAAAUUUCUCAUACAAUUCACCUUUUUAUUUUCAUUUUCAGAAAUCAAGCAUAUUUUAAGUAUUCUAUCAGUUGCUUUCAUAAUUUAAUGGCCAUGUAAGAAUGCUACCGCAGAGACAUGUUUGGGUUACUAUUACUUUCUUACUGGUUACAUAAAAUGGUUUCUUUGUGCUUAAUGAUAUUUGCUAUUUUCAAUGCAGAGCAUAAAAAAAUCUGAGUGUCCCAAAGAGCUUGAACCUGCAGAUAGGAGGUCAUCUGUUAAUGUUAACCUCAUAAGGAGGAACGAGAACUAUCCUGUAAGUUUCCUGUUAGUUUUUGUCCAAUUUACUAUUAAACCACAAUGAAUUUACUCUUGGAGCUUUUGAACUUCUGCAUUUUGAAAAGCAAUGCAAUCUUGUUGUACAUAAUUACUGGCUUCUGAAAUCGAAC